UGUAAGCUCCCCCUUCCUGGACCCAGACCCCCACAGCAUCACAUCUCCCCGCUCCAUAGCUGCCAUCGGCGGGGAGCCGACAGCAGUAAGUGCCAGUUGGCGUUGAGCUCCCAAAAGGGAACCCGUUGGAGCUAUGAUACGAUCCACCUGUCCCCACCGUAGGGGGGCUGGUGGGUAGAGGGUUGGUGCUGAUGGAGGACCGCAUGGAGACGAAGGUGAAGAGAGGAGAGGAUGCGUUCCUGAUAAAUGGCAGUAAGACGGAUGGGCCGACAGAGGGGCCGACCAUAACGGCUGAUCUACAGGACACAAACGCGGCCGCCGCAGAGAUUUGUGAGCCUCGACGGCGCUGAUAAUGGCGGACGGUCCGAACCAUCCCUCAACGCUCGAACAUCAAGGCGGAUGGGGAGGAGGGGGGGGGGGAAUAGAAAAAGUUAAAGCUCUUUCUCUUA